UACGGAGGAUCCAAGCGUUAUCCGGAUUCACUGGGUUUAAAGGGUGCGUAGGUGGAAUGAAAAGUCAGUGGUGAAAACCUGCAGCUUAACUGUAGAACUGCCAUUGAUACUGUCGUUCUUGAGUACAUUUGAUGUGAGUGGAAUGUGUCGUGUAGCGGUGAAAUGCUUAGAUAUGACACAGAACACCAAUUGCGAAGGCAGCUCACAAAACUGUAACUGACACUGAGGCACGAAAGCGUGGGGAUCAAACAGG
rnacentral:rRNA from 1 species